rnacentral:ncRNA from 1 species
AUGAAGUUUGAUUCUGGCUUUUAAGUUAGCUUAUUCAUUGGUCUAUAUGGGUUUAUUUUUAAUUUUUUUUGUUUCCAGUAGAAAGUAUUAAAAUUUUUAUUAUAUAUUUUGAAUUAGAAAUUGAAUAGUAUAAAGUAGAUUAAUAUUUGUGCCAGCAUUCGCGGUUACACAAUUUACUUAAGUUAAUUUUAUUAUUUUUUUAAUUUGAUUUGUUUGUUGUUAAAAAUAUAAAAUUAUUUAGGUGGAAUUUAUAAUUUGUUAUAAUAUCUAAAAUAAGUUAAUAUUUAUUUAAGAUAUUUCUAUUAAUAAACUAGGAUUAGAUACCCUAUUAUUUUUAAUGUAAAAGAUUUUAGAAUGGUAUUAGCUAUGACCUUUAAAGCUCAAAGAAUUUGGCGGUAAGAUAUCUAUUUAGAGGAAUCUGUGUAUUAGUAAUUGAUAUACCACAAUAGUUUGCACCUUUAGUUUAUUUGUAUACCGCUAUACUAUGGAAUGUUAUUUAAGUAAACUUUCUUUAAUUAAUUCAAUUUUAUAUUAGGUCAAGGUGCAGUUUUUUAAAGGUUUAUAUGGAUUACUUUUGUUUUAAGUAUUAGGAUUUUAAUUUUCUAAAAAUUAAUUUGAAUUAGGAUUUAAUAGUAAGUUAGAUUAAUUAGUUUGGCUGAAUAUUGCUAUGUCUUAUGUACAUAUCGCCCGUCACUCCUGGUUAAGCUAGGAUAAGUCGUAACAAAGUAAUUUUACCGGAAGGUGAAGUUAGAAUAAGAAAUU